UUUAGCUUGUAAACUAUGAUGAUGUUCCUACUUCAGGUCCGUGUUUCUGAACCCUGAUUAUAUGGAAGUUCUGAGCAACACAAUGUUUAUUACAAGCUUAAUGUUUCUGAAGUUCAUGUUAUGACUGGAUCAUAUUUUCAUUUACAGCAAGAACAUCAACCGCAGAGGGCUGAAGAAGAAUCCUCUGAAGAACCUGCGGAUGAUGCUCAAACUGAACCCUUACGCCAAGAUGUCAUGCCAUCCUGAAGCGUGACCCUUCGUUAAGCACGUCGUACACUUACCAAGAGCAUCAACCGCAGAGUGCUGAAGAAGAAUCCUCUGAAGAACUUGAGGAAUAAUGCUCAAACUGAACCCUUACGCCAAGACGUCAUGCCAUCCUGAAGCAUGACCCUUCAUUAAGCACGUCAUACACCUGUUAAGAACAUCAACCGCAGAUGGCUGAAGAAGAAUCCUCUGAAGAACCUGCGGAUGAUGCUCAAACUGAACCCUUACGCCAAGAUGUCAUGCCAUCCUGAAGCAUGACCCUUCGUUAAGUACGUCGUACACUUACCAAGACCAUCAACCGCAGAGUGCUGAAGAAGAAUCCUCUGAAGAACUUGAGGAUAAUGCUCAAACUGAACCCAUUACGCCAAGACAGUCAUGCCAUCCUCAAGCAUGACCCUUCAUUAAGCACGUCAUACACCUGUAAAGAACAUCAACCGCAGAGGGCUGAAGAAGAACUUGAGAAUAAUGCUCAAACUGAACCCUUACGCCAAGACGUCAUGCCAGCCUCAAGCAUGACCCUUCGUUAAGCACUUCGUACACCUGUCAAGAGCAUCAACCGCAGAGUGCUGAAGAAGAAUCCUCUGAAGAACUUGAGGAUGAUGCUCAAACUGAACCCUUACGCCAAGACAGCAAGACGUCAUGCCAUCCUCAAGCAAGCGAUCGAGGCCAAGAUGCUGCAAUCCAAGAUGAAGCCUGGAAAGAAGGGAACAUCUGCCAAGGCAUAAAUGUCUUUGUGAUAAAUAAAUGGUUUCAAAUAAACAAGUCAGACCAGU